GUAUGCGAUCAUACCAGCACUAAAGCACCGGAUCCCAUUAGAACUCCGAAGUUAAGCGUGCUUGGGCGGGAGUAGUACUAGGAUGGGUGACCUCCUGGGAAGUCCUCGUGUUGCAUUCCC
rnacentral:rRNA from 1 species